GACGAACGCUGGCGGCGUGCUUAACACAUGCAAGUCGAACGGAAAGGCCCUGCUUUUGUGGGGUGCUCGAGUGGCGAACGGGUGAGUAACACGUGAGUAACCUGCCCUUGACUUUGGGAUAACUUCAGGAAACUGGGGCUAAUACCGGAUAGGAGCUCCUGCUGCAUGGUGGGGGUUGGAAAGUUUCGGCGGUUGGGGAUGGACUCGCGGCUUAUCAGCUUGUUGGUGGGGUAGUGGCUUACCAAGGCUUUGACGGGUAGCCGGCCUGAGAGGGUGACCGGCCACAUUGGGACUGAGAUACGGCCCAGACUCCUAAGGGAGGCAGCAGUGGGGAAUAUUGCACAAUGGGCGGAAGCCUGAGGCAGCAACGCCGCGUGCGGGAUGACGGCCUUCGGGUUGUAAACCGCUUUCGCCUGUGACGAAGCGUGAGUGACGGUAAUGGGUAAAGAAGCACCGGCUAACUACGUG
rnacentral:rRNA from 1 species